rnacentral:lncRNA from 1 species
CAUAUAAAUCACUUCUGCUAUCAAAUCCAGUUCUUUGUCUUACCAGACAAACCAUAAAGUUCAACUAUUCAAGCCAUGCCAAUAGGAUAUAAGUCGAGUUCAUAAUGAACGGACAUCAAAGUACCACGGUUAAGAUAUAAAAUGUCUUGGCUAAAGCAAAUUAUUUAUGCUGCAUAAUGCGCGACUAAUUCUUGGUACCAAUGUCCU